GUAUGGAAUACCAUCAAAACCGAAUGCUGUAUCUUUGCGAGAAGCGAUUGCAGAUUUCAACUCUUGGAUAGUAAAAGAAUCACAUAAAAAACUGUUGUUAUUAAUUGACAAAACAUUUUCAAUUUGUAGCUGAUUUUGAUAAACAGAACUGUAUUUUUCAAGAAACUCCAAAACCCAACCAUCUUGCUCUCCUUUUGAAUUAUAAAUUUUACCAAAUUUCCUCAUAUGUUUCCAGAUCAAAGACAAUGGUGUUGAGCGAUUGAAUGAUUCACAAAGACGGACCCAACUGUUAUGUUUUUCUAUUUUUAAUAUUUUACAACAGCAUCAAAGCAUUUCAAAUUCCACCAAGGUAGUCUAGGUCGUGGAAUACGACCUUUACGAGAUGAUAUAUUUUGUUUACUACGAGAAACGCCACUACAAGCCUGAGCUGAAUCGACCAAUAAUUUACAGAAUAUAUCGUAACUUUCUAAAGAUGAAUAUUGGCUGAAAUUUAUUUUUUGAAGACCAGCAUCUACACGAUUUUUAUAAGAAUUCCAAUCGACACAUUUGUAAUUUGGAUAAACAGGAAGAGUUGUAUGAAGUGUGUUGUGGAUAUCAGUUGCAGUUGUUAAAUGGAAUUUAAUUAAUACUGGAAGAUGAUAGCUGCCGAGAGGGUCGUUAUGUACAGACCAUUCACAAGACAUGGCAAGUUCUGGAGAAACUAUUGUAAGGUCUAAUGCAUUUGGACGCCAUGAUGAAGAUCCAACAGUAGUAACCUGCCCAUCAUUCAACAGAACUAGACAAUUAUCAUUGAUGACGUCUAAAAUCUCUCUACCACGACGUGAUGUUGAAUUACAACCCCAAGAUGUAUUGUGAGCAUUGAAAUCACCGGCCAAAAUAAAAGGAUGUGGAAUAGAUUUUAUGAGAUUAUCUAAUUUAGUUUUAUCGAAUCUGGGAUAACUAUAAGUAGGACAGUAACAACUAAUUAAACUUAAUUCUUUAUUAUUAAGAAAAAUUGUCACACAUAUGUUUUGGAGACCAUUGUCUGAAAAAGUUGGCAAAUGCUUGUACUGAAUAGUAUCUUUGAUUAAAAUGGCCACUCCAUUGUGCUUAUUGCCUGAAUCAUGUCUAACAACGUUAAAACCUUUAAUUUUGAAAACGGUUUCUGGACGAAGCCAAGUUUCACAUAUAAUUGCUAAAUGAAUAUCUUGCUCGUAUAAGAAAUGUGUUAAAUAUAAUCUAUUGCAAAGAAUACUUUGUGAGUUCCAUUGUAAUAUAUUCAAAUGAUCCAUUAAGAAGGAAAUAAGGUGUUUUGACUGAAAGUUUCAAGCAGGAUGUUACGUAUGGAACCAGUGUUAAUUGGUAUAUCAUUUUUUUGGUCAUUAAUUACUUUAAGAAUUGAUUUGAUUAAAAGAUUCAUAAAAAUUUCGGACUUAGUUAAGUUUUGUAAUUGAGUUUCUAUAUGUCUGUUCGUAAGUUGUGGAAAAGAUUUUUCGUCAAAUAUAUUUGCAUAGGUAACAGUUUUA